UAUAACUAGGCCGAGGAAAAGAAACUAACCAGGAUUCCCCCAGUAACGGCGAGUGAAGCGGGAGAAGCCCAUGCUGCCAACCGCUCCGGCGGGUUGUGCCAGGCGUGCCUGGUGAGGUCCCGGGGAGAAAUUCUUUGGAACAAGGUAUCAGAGAGGGUGACAAUCCCGUCUGUGCCUCGGGGUCCUCGCGUGAAGGCCGUCCUAGUGGAGUCGAGUUGCUUGGGAUUGCAGCUCAAAGUCGGUGGUAAAUUCCAUCGAAGGCUAAAUACGGGUGGGAGACCGAUAGCGAACAAGUACUGUGAAGGAAAGAUGAAAAGAACUUUGAAAAGAGAGUUAAAGAGUGCCUGAAAUUGCUGAGAGGGAACCGAAGGUGAUCAGUGGGGGCCGCUGCCAUUUUUCGUGUUCCGACCUCGGAGCACGCCCUGUGGCAGGGGCCCGCUCCGCGCCGUCGCGUCCGGCCGUAAGCUUGGGGCCGGGGGCGCCGGGGCGGAGGAAAU
rnacentral:rRNA from 1 species